AUCCACACGCAAACAGACUCGUCUUUCGCCUGGCUGGGCGCUUUGGAGCGAUUCGAGAUGGAAAUGGGACGAAAGGAGAGUCUUUUUGGAUCUCGGACACUAUGCGGUCGGUUCUGAGGCAAAAAUAAACACUCACGACUCACACCUCAGAAAGAGAGAGAAAAAAGGGAGAGAGACACCGGCUGUACCCCUUCUAGGAAGAAUAAACAUGACAGUUAUAACCGGAUUAGAGACGGAAAAGUACCCCAAGCAACUGGCCGAGUCAUAAAAAUACAAAUCAGCAUAGCUGCAGUUCCCAGAGAGUGGAGGAUUUGGAGAGAAGAUCUCUCUCAGAACCAGACUGUCAUGGAGAAAACAAGGUCUAUCUACCUUUCCCUAAACCACCCUGACGGAUUGGAUUAUCGGAGAGUCUCUGUUCCUCUGACCAUCAGUUCUUUAACAAGGCAAAGGACCAGCAGGAGAAAAACCCCUAGGGGCUGCCCCACCCAAGCUCCCUGAAGACCUGCCAAUGUGGACCCUGCUCCUGGAGGAAAUCCCACAAGAAAUGGGGAGAGGAACCUAAGAGGAAAGGCUGCUGGUCAACUAUUGUGCCUAAGAACAAAGAAAACAGCUCCAGACGGUGGGAAAACACUCCCAAGCUUUCCUGAUGCAGGACAGGAAAGGAGAGGGGGUUGAGGGCGCAGAGAAGACGUGAGGGGGCAAGAAGCAGAUGGUGGAGAAAGCAAACACAAAGUCACCACCAGCUGCAGAAAAUGCUCUGAGAAAAUAGGGACUGGGGGUGGUUUUCCUGGAGCAGCUGGGCUUGAAAAGCUGCUGCCUAAAACUCAGGGUCGUGGAUCUGAGUCCUCAUGGCCACUUGCUGCCAGCCGGACCGUGGAAACCUCAGAUGAUGGUGGAAGCCGCGGUACUCAGAGCUAAGUCUAGCUUUCACAUGAUGUGAAAGCCUUUGCAUUGUCAUCACACACCUGAACCCAAGGGUGCUGUGAAGGCCUAACCGAGGAGCAGGGUCAAAGUGCACAAACACCAGGAGACCCCUUCCUGCCCGUCCACCCCCACGCCCAGCCAUCCCAGGGAAGCUGGCACAGCAGCAUGUACAGCUGUGUGUAUAGCCAGCGUGUUUUUUAAGAUUUUAUUUAGUUAUUCAUGAGAGACACACAGAGGCAGAGCCAUAGGCAGAGGGAGAAGCAGGCUCCCUGUGGGGACCUGAUGUGGGACUCAAUCCCAGGACCUUAGGAUCAUGACCUGAGCCAAAGGCAGACGCUCAACCGCUGAGCCACCCAGGUGUUCCUGUCUCUGGGUGUCUUACAGCUGAUUCACUGUCGAACCAAACCAGAGGGCGAUCCCAACCUGCGGGGUCACGCUAGUGGGAUGUGCUGGUAGGGCCAGGGCGAGUGGGAUUGGAAGGCCCCAGAAAGGCCUUCUUUUUGCUGCCCCUCAGUUGUCAUCCUCAUGUCUGCGUCUUAUGGCUUAGAGGCCAGAAGGAGCCCAGUGAUCACCUGGGACCCCAAGUCCCCUUGAUGGCAGAGUCACUGUCUACUGAUGUGGUUUUUAAACUGCUUGUGAGGGAACCCCUCAAAGACACACAAGCAGAGGAAGCAGGAAACUGACCCUCCCUUGCUUCCACAGAGCAGCCCCAGUGUCAUCUCUUUUUUGUAUAUGUUGGGCUCUGGAUAAGACUUUAUUUCAAUAAAGGCUUUAGUUGAGGUUCUUUGGUUGAAAGC
rnacentral:lncRNA from 12 species